rnacentral:lncRNA from 1 species
CUUUAAUCCAUUAGCACAUGUUUUAGAUGGGAAAGAAAAAAACAUUAGGAAGAAAAACAUUGUAAAUCUAAUUCUUCUGGGAACCGUUAGUGGCUAGUUCUGGUGAGAAUUGCUGAGGCCAUGAGCAAUCCAGAUGUUUAUUGUUUGGCUAAGGCUGAUUUUUCCUUCUUCCUGCAGUUCAUUACCAAGGAGUGAGUUCGUUCCUGGGGUUGGAGAGGGAACAACUGGAUGGACAAACCUCUGAUGUGGUGUUUGCUACUCGAUGAAUCACUGGGCCAUGCUGUCACUGGUGGAAGUGCAGCAGAUGGAGGAGCAGGCACCAGUGAUCCCCCAGGAAGCUCCUCAGGGUGGGGAUGAGAACUGGGCUGGAACACAACUCCUGGAGAGGCUCUGCAGGACCCCUGGGCACAGAAUCUCUGCUGGCAGGGCUUUCUCCCAAGGCUGUGCUUCCAAACUGGGUAAGUCUGGCUGGAUUUAAACAUAAUAAAAACCAAGUGAAGAUUUAAGAGAAAAGAUUC